rnacentral:rRNA from 1 species
ACCAGACUCCUACGGGAGGCAGCAGUGGGGGAUAUUGCACAAUGGGGGGAACCCUGAUGCAGCGACGCCGCGUGGGUGAAGAAGCGCCUCGGCGCGUAAAGCCCUGUCAGCAGGGAAGAAAAUGACGGUACCUGAAGAAGAAGCCCCGGCUAACUACGUGCCAGCAGCCGCGGUAAUACGUAGGGGGCAAGCGUUAUCCGGAUUUACUGGGUGUAAAGGGGGCGCAGACGGCGAUGCAAGCCAGGAGUGAAAGCCCGGGGCCCAACCCCGGGACUGCUCUUGGAACUGCGAGGCUGGAGUGCAGGAGGGGCAGGCGGAAUUCCUGGUGUAGCGGUGAAAUGCGUAGAUAUCAGGAGGAACACCGGUGGCGAAGGCGGCCUGCUGGACUGCAACUGACGUUGAGGCCCGAAAGCGUGGGGAGCAAACAGGAUUAGAUACCCGCGUAC